AUCAAAAUUUGGUUAGGAUUUAUUUAGGAUUUGACUAGGGUUUAUUUAGGAUUUGAUUAAGGUUUAUUUAGGAUUUUUUUAGGAUUUGAUUAGAGUUUGUUUAAGAUUUGGUUAAGAUUUGAUUAAGAUUUGGUUAGGAUUUGAUUAGGAUUUGUUUAAAAUUUGAUUAAGAUUUGAUUAAGAUUUUAUUAGGAUUUGUUUAAAAUUUGAUUAAGAUUUGAUUAAGAUUUUAUUAGGAUUUUCUUAGGAUUUGAUUAAGUUUUUUUUAGGAUUUGAUUAGGAUUUGUUUAGGAUUUGAGUAGGAUUUAUUUAAGAUUUGAUUAGAGUUUAUUCAGGGUUUGUUUUGGAUUUGGUUAGGAUUUGUUUAAGAUUUGAUUAAGAUUUGACUAAGAUUUGUUUAGGAUUUGUUUAGGGUUUGAUUAAGAUUUUUUUAGGAUUUGUUUAGAAUUUGGUUAGGAUUUUUUUAGGAUUUGAUUAAGAUUUAUUUGGGAUUUGAUUGAGAUUUGGUUUAGAUUUGAUUAGAGUUUGAUUUAAAUUUGAUUAGGUUUUAAUUAAAGUUUUUAUUUUAAUAUUUUAUUAAGAUUUUUAUUUUAGUAUAUUUUUGAAUUCUAUGUUAUUUCUUUAUGAUUUCUUUAAAAGAUCUUUAGGAAUACUUUGUAUUUUUUACAUAAAUUUCUUGAAAUUUUAAUUGAAUUUGAUUGAUAUUUGAUUAUAUA
rnacentral:lncRNA from 1 species